GGGUUGUGAGGUUAAGCGACUAAGCGUACACGGUGGAUGCCCUGGCAGUCAGAGGCGAUGAAGGACGUGCUAAUCUGCGAUAAGCGCCGGUAAGGUGAUAUGAACCGUUAUAACCGGCGAUUUCCGAAUGGGGAAACCCAGUGUGACUCGUCACACUAUCAUUAACUGAAUCCAUAGGUUAAUGAGGCGAACCGGGGGAACUGAAACAUCUAAGUACCCCGAGGAAAAGAAAUCAACCGAGAUUCCCCCAGUAGCGGCGAGCGAACGGGGAGGAGCCCAGAGCCUGAAUCAGCAUGUGUGUUAGUGGAAGCGUCUGGAAAGGCGCGCGAUACAGGGUGACAGCCCCGUACACAAAAGCGCAUGUGCUGUGAGCUCGAUGAGUAGGGCGGGACACGUGGUAUCCUGUCUGAAUAUGGGGGGACCAUCCUCCAAGGCUAAAUACUCCUGACUGACCGAUAGUGAACCAGUACCGUGAGGGAAAGGCGAAAAGAACCCCGGCGAGGGGAGUGAAAAAGAACCUGAAACCGUGUACGUACAAGCAGUGGGAGCACAGGUUUACCUGUGUGACUGCGUACCUUUUGUAUAAUGGGUCAGCGACUUAUAUUCUGUAGCAAGGUUAACCGAAUAGGGGAGCCGGAGGGAAACCGAGUCUUAACCGGGCGUUAAGUUGCAGGGUAUAGACCCGAAACCCGGUGAUCUAGCCAUGGGCAGGUUGAAGGUUGGGUAACACUAACUGGAGGACCGAACCGACUAAUGUUGAAAAAUUAGCGGAUGACCUGUGGCU
rnacentral:rRNA from 1 species